rnacentral:rRNA from 1 species
GACGAACGCUGGCGGCGUGCUUAACACAUGCAAGUCGAACGGAAAGGCCAUGCUUUUGUUGGGUGCUCGAGUGGCGAACGGGUGAGUAACACGUGAGUAACCUGCCCUUGACUUUGGGAUAACUUCAGGAAACUGGGGCUAAUACCGGAUAGGAGCUCCUGCUGCAUGGUGUGGGUUGGAAAGUUUCGGCGGUUGGGGAUGGACUAGCGGCUUAUCCGCUUGUUGGUGGGGUAGUGGCUUACCAGGGCUUUGAGGGGUAGCCGGCCUGAGAGGGGGGACGGGGACAUGGGGCCUGAGAGAGGGCCCAGAAGCGUACGGGAGGCAGCAGGGGGGAAUAUUGCACAAUGGGCGCAAGUCUGAGGCAGAAACGCCGCGAGCGGGAUGACGGCUUUCGGGUUGUAAACCGAUUUCGCCUGUGACGAAGCGUGAUUGACGGUAAUGGGUAAAGAAGCACCGGCUAACUACGUG